GGAAGGUGCAAGCGUUAAUCGGAAUUACUGGGCGUAAAGCGCGCGUAGGCGGUUAGAUAAGUCGGGUGUGAAAGCCCCGGGCUCAACCUGGGAACUGCAUUCGAUACUGUCUGGCUAGAGUGUGAUAGAGGGAGGCGGAAUUCCGCAUGUAGCGGUGAAAUGCGUAGAGAUGCGGAGGAACACCAAUGGCGAAGGCAGCCUCCUGGAUUAACACUGACGCUGAGGUGCGAAAGCGUGGGGGGAGCAAACAGGAUUAGAUACCCUGGUAGUCCACGCCGUAAACGAUGUCAACUAGCCGUUGGGAGCAAUUUGGCUCUUGGUGGCGUAGCUAACGCGAUAAGUUGACCGCCUGGGGAGUACGGUCGCAAGAUUAA
rnacentral:rRNA from 1 species